rnacentral:miRNA from 1 species
UCUGUCGAAGGUGAGAUGGUGC